CAAGAAAUAGUUUAAAGAUUAAGAAUAUUAAUUUUGGAGAUUAAAGGUGUAUAUUAAUUAUAUUUUUUUGA
rnacentral:tRNA from 1 species